rnacentral:rRNA from 1 species
UACGUAGGGUGCGAGCGUUGUCCGGAAUUAUUGGGCGUAAAGGGCUCGUAGGCGGUCUGUCACGUCGGGAGUGAAAACUCGGGGCUUAACCCCGAGCCUGCUUCUGAUACGGGCAGACUAGAGGUAUGCAGGGGAGAAUGGAAUUCCUGGUGUAGCGGUGAAAUGCGCAGAUAUCAGGAGGAACACCGGUGGCGAAGGCAGUUCUCUGGGCAUGACCUGACGCUGAGGAGCGAAAGUGUGGGGAGCGAACAGG